rfam:Morus notabilis contig18001, whole genome shotgun sequence.
UUUUGCAAUGAUGAUAAAUGUGUAUCCCAGCUCAUUAUGAGACCUUUUGUAGGUCUAGGAAAGAUUCAUUUCCACAUUUAUCUGAGCCUACAA